rnacentral:SRP_RNA from 1 species
UCGCGCAGCCGGGGAGAUAGCGGUGCCCUGUACCUGCAAACCGCUCUAGCAGGGGUGAUGUUUCGCAGAGGGUAGUCUUUUGUAGGGCCGCCCUGCAUAAGUGGCGUUGAAGUUUGGGUCUUACGCAACAGGAAUCUGUGAACCGUGUCAGGUCAGGAAUGGAGCAGCACUAAGCAGAACCUCCUGUGUGCCGUGAGGGUGCCUGGGCCGAGUUAACUGUGCAGGUAACGCUUAUGAGAGCUAUUCGAAGCGAAACGCGCGA